AGCCUAGUUCAAUCAGGACUGGAGAUCCAGUGCCCUUUUGGUCGCAAUAGGACAUUUAAGAAAAGCCAACAAACAAUGAGGUGCGUGCCGUUCUGUCAGGGAAAUUCUCUGGUCCUGUUUGUCCUGCACCUCUUAAUGGCCCAUUUUAAAGAAAAAACCUGAGUCCCUUCUAAUUGAAGCUGUUGUAGCAGCAACUGCAGCCGACAUGGAAAGAGGUGAAUUACCGGAUUCACCCACACUGAUUAUCCACGCAGGGCUCUACACUAACUUUUUGCACUGGUUGCACUGGUGCGCCUAACUUUUUUUCUUAGGUGCACCAGCACAAAAGUUAGGUGCACCCAAAUUUUCGACCGCAUCACAUUUAACACCGCAGUUUUACAAGUUCACUUUUUUUUUUUAAAUCGCUGUCCAUAUAGGCAAUAUUGACUUGUAAAUGAUUAACUAACAAUCUGGUCAACAUAAAGUUCUUUAUUUGAAGCACAAUUCUACAAGAAAGCAGGGCUCUAGACUAACACUUGAGAGAGGUGGCACUGGUGCUACCAAGUUAUUCAGUUGGUGGCACCAGCCCUUAAUUUGAUAGCACCAGAGUCGUGGGGUAAGGAAAGAAAAAAGAAUCACUAAAACUUCAUUAAAAUGUGUUUAAUACAUUAAUAAAUCAAUUAGAAAUUAAUACAAAUCAUUGUUUAUGAUUGAAUUAUUUUUAUUGUAUAUGUAAACUCUCUUUCAACACUUUACCAUAUUUAAAGCACAUCUUUCUUAAAGCUACUUUCUUCCUUUAUUUGUUGUGAACGACUCCUAUAAGAGAACACAAUUCCUUUAAUAUCAGUGAGUGUUUUUGGGCCCGUCCGUUGUUGUUUGAUGAACAUUAUAAACAGAGAUCUUUAUUAUGCUGCUGCCCCUUUAAGAGCUCGCGCAAUAUACUGGAACACGUGUUUUGUUUCCCAACUGUUUGGUCAUGAAACAAACUGAAUACCUUUACAAGGUUUCUUGUUAAUAUGGGAAUUUUUAGGUUAUUUUGUGUUAAUAUGUCCGUUUCAGAGUAAGAAGGCGUGAAAGAGAACUCCGUUUAGUAUUUUGUGCUCUGACUCUCUGGGCGCGCGCAUCUCAAACAACCCGCGAGACCUGAAGGCUUUUAGUGAUUAUUCUUCAUGAAAGCUGCAUUGAUACACGUUUGGCUUCUAUCAAUAGCGACUCACAAAUAAAUAGUAUUUAGCGUGAUGUAUAACGUUUUGUAUGCUUUGCAGUAUUGUUAGAGAUCUUUAUACAAUAGUUCAGUGCUUAAAGUUUAAACACGUGUUUCCUGCAUUAGCUUCACAUGCAUACAAUACUUGCAACACAUUUCGUUAUCUUUGCUGUUUUGUACCUUAGCAGGGGAAAUUCUUGUAUUCUGCAUAUUUAUUUAAGUUGCAAGAUUGAGCGCUUCACUCGUCUGCUCUUUCGGUCCUUCGCCUCUUACCCGUAACCCGCGAAUUACGUCUUUGGGGGCGGGGCACUGAUAGAUAAGUGAAUGGUUGAAGGAGGGGAGACGAAAAUGAGUGACUGAAUGCGCAGCUUGCGCAAUAUAACAUUUCUGCGCAUUAAAUUUAUAAUACGCAAAAAUUAUAUAUUGAUCAGUUUGACAGUCGCACCGGUGCGACCAUUAAGAAAAACUUGUCGCACUGGCAGGAAAAUUUGUCGCAAAAUGAGACCAUUUAGUCGCAGUCUAGCGUGUCAGAGCAUUGGUUAUGAUUUUCGGACGGAUCAGGCCUUAACUUAACAUUCUUAACGAAAAAGUUGUCAAUCGUUCUUUUCAUCUUCUCUCAUCAUCCGCGGCUACAUCCACUCUGUUUA